AUUGAACGCUGGCGGCAGGCCUAACACAUGCAAGUCGAACGAGUGGCGGACGGGUGAGUAAUGUCUGGGAAACUGCCUGAUGGAGGGGGAUAACUACUGGAAACGGUAGCUAAUACCGCAUACCAUCAGAUGUGCCCAGAUGGGAUUAGCUAGUUGGUGGGGUAACGGCUCACCAAGGCGACGAUCCCUAGCUGGUCUGAGAGGAUGACCGGCAAAAUUGGAAUGGGAACACGGUCAAGACUCCUACGGGAGGCAGCAGUGGGGAAUAUUGCACAAGGGGCGCAAGCCUGAGACAGCCAUGCCGCGUGUAGAAAGAAGGCCUUCGGGUUGUAAAUGACUUUCAGCGGGGAGGCGUUACCCGAAGAAGAAGCACCGGCUAACUCCGUGCCAGCAGCCGCGGUAAUAC
rnacentral:rRNA from 1 species